rnacentral:rRNA from 1 species
UGUGGUUUAAUUCGAAGCAACGCGAAGAACCUUACCAGGUCUUGACAUCUAGCGCCAACCUCAGAGAUGAGGUGUUCCCUUCGGGGACGCUAAGACAGGUGGUGCAUGGUUGUCGUCAGCUCGUGUCGUGAGAUGUUGGGUUAAGUCCCGCAACGAGCGCAACCCUUAUUAUCAGUUGCCAGCAUUCAGUUGGGCACUCUGGUGAGACUGCCGGUGACAAACCGGAGGAAGGUGGGGACGACGUCAAAUCAUCAUGCCCCUUAUGACCUGGGCUACACACGUGCUACAAUGGACGGUACAACGAGUUGCGAACUCGCGAGGGUAAGCUAAUCUCUUAAAGCCGUUCUCAGUUCGGACUGUAGGCUGCAACUCGCCUACACGAAGUCGGAAUCGCUAGUAAUCGCGGAUCAGCACGCCGCGGUGAAUACGUUCCCGGGCCUUGUACACACCGCCCGUCACACCAUGAGAGUUUGUAACACCCAAAGUCGGUGGGGUAACCUUUAGGAGCCAGCCGCCUAAGGUGGGACAGAUGAUUAGGGUGAAGUCGUAACAAGGUAACCA